GUCUAUGGCCAUACCACCACCCUGAAUGUACCCAAUCUCCUCUGGUCUCGGAAGCUAAACAGGGUCAGGCCUGGUUAGUACUUGUGUGGAAAAAAGAUCUUCAGAGAAGACUGCUCAGAGACG
rnacentral:rRNA from 1 species